CAAUUGCGGAGGAAAAGAAACCAACAGGGAUUGCCUUAGUAGCGGCGAGUGAAGCGGCAAAAGCUCAAAUUUGAAAUCUGGCGCCUUCGGUGUCCGAGUUGUAAUUUGAAGAUUGUAACCUUGGGGUUGGCUCUUGUCUAUGUUUCUUGGAACAGGACGUCACAGAGGGUGAGAAUCCCGUGCGAUGAGAUGCCCAAUUCUAUGUAAGGUGCUUUCGAAGAGUCGAGUUGUUUGGGAAUGCAGCUCUAAGUGGGUGGUAAAUUCCAUCUAAAGCUAAAUAUUGGCGAGAGACCGAUAGCGAACAAGUACAGUGAUGGAAAGAUGAAAAGAACUUUGAAAAGAGAGUGAAAAAGUACGUGAAAUUGUUGAAAGGGAAGGGUUUGAGAUCAGACUCGAUAUUUUGUGAGCCUUGCCUUCGUGGCGGGGUGACCCGCAGCUUAUCGGGCCAGCAUCGGUUUGGGCGGUAGGAUAAUGGCGUAGGAAUGUGACUUUACUUCGGUGAAGUGUUAUAGCCUGCGUUGAUGCUGCCUGCCUAGACCGAGGACUGCGAUUUUAUCAAGGAUGCUGGCAUAAUGAUCCCAAACCGCCCGUCUGAA
rnacentral:rRNA from 1 species